UACGAGGGGGGCAAGUGUUGUUCGGAAUUACUGGGCGUAAAGGGAGCGUAGGCGGGCUCUUAAGUUGGAUGUUUAAAACCGGGGCCUAACCCCGGCGUGGCAUCCAAAACUGGGACGUCUUGAAUGGGACAGAGGCCAGUGGAAUUAGAGGUGUAGCGGUGGAAUGCGUAGAUAUCUCUAAGAACACCAGUUGCGAAGGCGGCUGGCUGGGUCCACAUUGACGCUGAGGCUCGAAAGCGUGGGGAGCAAACAGG
rnacentral:rRNA from 1 species